rnacentral:rRNA from 1 species
GAUGAACGCUGGCGGCGCGCUUAACACAUGCAAGUCGAACGAAGCACCUCUCCCGAAGAUUGACACAGCUUGCUGUAGAUUGAUUCAUUUGAGGUGACUGAGUGGCGGACGGGUGAGUAACGCGUGGGUAACCUGCCUCAUAGAGGGGGACAACAGUUGGAAACGACUGCUAAUACCGCAUAGUAAGAAGAAUUCGCAUGUUUUCUUCUUGAAAGAUUUAUCGCUAUGAGAUGGACCCGCGUCUGAUUAGCUAGUUGGUAAGGUAACGGCUUACCAAGGCGACGAUCAGUAGCCGGCUUGAGAGAGUGAACGGCCACAUUGGGACUGAGACACGGCCCAAACUCCUACGGGAGGCAGCAGUGGGGAAUAUUGCACAAUGGGGGAAACCCUGAUGCAGCGACGCCGCGUGAGUGAAGAAGUAUUUCGGUAUGUAAAGCUCUAUCAGCAGGGAAGAUAAUGACGGUACCUGACUAAGAAGCCCCGGCUAACUACGUG